UGAGACAGGGUUUCUCUGUAUAGCCUUGGCUAUCCUGGACUAGCUUUGUAGACCAGGCUGGCCUCAAACUCACAGAGAUCCGCCUGCCUCUGCCUCUCCAAGUGCUGGGAUUACAGGUGUGUGCCACUGUGUCUGGC
rnacentral:sRNA from 1 species